UACGGAGGGUGCAAGCGUUAUCCGGAAUCACUGGGUUUAAAGGGUGCGUAGGCGGCUAUGUAAGUCAGUUGUGAAAUACCUCGGCUUAACCGAAGGAAGUGCGAUUGAUACUGCGUAGCUUGAAUCAGGUUGAGGUAGGCGGAAUGUGACAUGUAGCGGUGAAAUGCUUAGAUAUGUCAUAGAACACCGAUUGCGAAGGCAGCUAACGAAACUAUAACUGACACUGAGGCUCGAAAGUGUGGGGAUCAAACAGG
rnacentral:rRNA from 1 species